AACCCCUGGCAAUGGGCAAAGAACCACCUUGUUGGUGGUUUUGCUCUUAUAUCAGCCAGGAGCAGAGCAGACGGUCAUCCUUUGUUCAUCCUAGUUUCGUGCCUGGUUUGGUGGGCCAGAACUGUUUUAUGCCAGAAAACAUAC